GCCAGUUCAAAAACAAAGCCCUGAUCAGGCGCAGCUGCGGGAUCUGAGCUGUUUUAUGCGCCAGAUACGGAGCCAAGCACUUUAACACGCCAUCUACUUUAAUCUCCCCCCGCCCCCCAUCCACCUGCCCGGAGAAUCCAGGGGUUUGGUCCGGUAGGUAUGCUAAUCACUGAAGGAUUCUAACCUGCAGCCUAGGAAUUCCUGAAACAACUUCCCUGCUUGAAACUAUGUCCCAAAGGAGAUAAGGAAGUUAUGAACCUGCUUUUGCCCCAUCCACAAACUUGGGCAAGUUGCAUCUCUCAAAACCUUGAAAAAAAGCCACCUUGGAUGCAGAUGGGAUUUUACAGUCAUGCCUCUUCCAUUGACCCUGAAAAUAACAUCUAUAAAACCACAUUACUGUAUGAGGAUUCACAGCCUCCUCCUGUCCUGCCUGGGCGGGCGAAGGGCCCAGCAAGGUUGUGUCGAUGGACACUGGAAAAAGCUAAGAGCUAACUGGGGUUUGGGUGUUUGAAAGGAGCAAGCUGAGGGGCCAGCUGCUGUGAAUCUGAGCUGCAUGGAGAGGUGGAGAUAAUGGAUUUUAAAACUUUUUUGCUUGGUAUUAGGACUGGAAUCCCUUCUGGCAUUUUUUUCAAGAGUCUCAAGUAAAGAUUAAGUGGUUUGAAACUA